ACAGAUCCGAAAACCAAUCGAAGAUUGACUCCUUCUAGUUCUAAUCCUAUGUAGCUAUGCUAAUCUAGAUAUCUAAUUGAUGUGGUGGCUCUAAUCUUGAUCAGAGGCUUCUUCUCCCUUGAGGAACAAUGAAUUAGGGUUGAGAGGCUCCCUCCUGCAGGGGCCAGGGGGUCUGGUUUUAUAGUCCCUUCAAGUGAAUAUGGGUCGUUGGAUCAAACCGACAUUGAUUGAACGGUUAUCCUUGAUCCUUUAGGUCGGUGGAGAUCUCCCACGAAAUAGAAUCCUGAUUGGACUCCAAGUCAGGGCGGGCGCCCAGGGAAGGAGGGCGGGCGCCCUGCCUCUGGCCCCGUUCGGCCUCCGCUUUCUUCCCGUGGCUUCUGGAGUCUUCUAGAUGUAAGAUAAUUGCGCGGCACGUUAAUAUCUCUAUGUAAUCCCGACGUGUGGGCCUUUCUUCUGUAUUUCCUGAUAACCCCCUGUAGAAAUAGACAAACACCAAAACUCGUGGAAUUCUGUCAGAUAAAACCCUAAGUCUAGAUGUUGAUUUCAUUUGGAUCCUUUUCUUUAUUUAUUUGAUAAUUAAAUUUGAUACUUAAGGAUCGUCAACACUUAGGAGUUAAGUUUGUAGUUCGUCCUAAUCUAUGCUAGUGCUACAAGCUUAGAGUAAUCUAUUGACAAGUUUAUCAUUUAUUAUGUGGC
rnacentral:lncRNA from 1 species